AUUUUUGCUUUGAGUUACUUGCAAACCAAGGCCUACCUAGUUCCAGUCCGAUUUAUGUCUUCUCUCUCUAAUUGAAUAGACUAGCAGGCAUGUUUUAAUCUGAGAAUUAGUUGCUCUAAUUUCUCAAGCACUAGUUGUUUCUGUCUUCUCUUUCUAGUUGAAUAGACUAGCAGACUGCUGGAAAUUACUUCCACAUCCAUUUUCUAGUUGUUUCUGAUUUAUGGUUGGGUUUGGCUCCCUAUUUAGCUCGAAGGUCUUUUAUGGUUGGUUUUCAGCUUUUCUGAAUUAGAUAUUUUAUAUGAUUAUAGGUCCUGUUGCUGAUGACAUGUUCCACUGGCAAGCAACAAUUAUGGGACCAACAGAUAGCCCCUUUGCAGGUGGUGUAUUUUUGGGAUCGAAUACUAGACAUAUGGGACCAAAAGCCUAUGAUGAUUAUGAUGAUGGUGACAAUGAGUGAAGUUACAUUUGGGUGAGGUUCUUCAAAACCUUCAGGGUGGCUUGGGUAAUGCUCAGAAAGAUUGAUGCUUGGGUGAUGAUAAAAAAAUCUGGACCAAGUGGUGUCGAUGGUUUUGAACUCGUUCCAAGAUCCCCACCCUUGUGUGCGCUGGGCUGCUAUUAAUGCAAAUGGACAAUUGCCUAUAGAUUUGGGGCCAGACCUUCAGGUUCAGUAUCAUCAACGGGUGUUGCAUGCAUUAGCCUCAACUAUGGAUGAUUUCCAGAAUCCUUGAGUACAGGUAAGUGGGUUUCUGACAUUGUGGUUCAUACUUGAUAGAACAUUGUCUGGUCAUCAUCUAUUUCUUUUUUAGUUGCAUUGAAAAUUAUAUCAAGCAAGGACGUGUCGAAAGUGCAGAUCGGAUCCCAUUGGCUGAUGUGGGAUUGAUAUAGGUUUAGGUGACCUAAUGAUUGUCACUUAAUUCCAAUGAUCUAGGGCAGCGCCCACUUCGAUGUCCAACACAAAAUAUGAAGUAUUUAUAAAACAUCCAAUGAAAUCAGUGUUUAAACUAAGCA